rnacentral:rRNA from 1 species
CCUACGGGUGGCUGCAGUGGGGAAUUUUGGACAAUGGGCGCAAGCCUGAUCCAGCCAUUCCGCGUGAGUGAAGAAGGCCUUCGGGUUGUAAAGCUCUUUCGCAAGGGAAGAAAACUUAUCCUCUAACAUAGGAUGAGGUUGACGGUACCUUGAUAAGAAGCACCGGCUAACUACGUGCCAGCAGCCGCGGUAAUACGUACGGAAUUACCGUUAAUCGGAAUUACGGGGCGUGUUGUGUAAGUCGGAUGUGAAAUCCCCGAGCUCAACUUAGGAACUGCGUUUGAAACUACAAGACUAGAAUAGGUCAGAGGGGGGUAGAAUUCCACGUGUAGCAGUGAAAUGCGUAGAGAUGUGGAGGAAUAUCAAUGGCGAAGGCAGCCCCCUGGGAUAAUAUUGACGCUCAUGCACGAAAGCGUGGGGAGCAAACAGGAUUAGAUACCCGGGUAGUC